GCUCGCGACAUGACUGCUCGGUUUGGGGGAC
rnacentral:piRNA from 1 species